rfam:Frankia sp. CcI3, complete genome.
GAAGCGGGAACCCGGCACGGCUUCGGCCGGUCAGACCUAUGCCGCCUCGCCGAGAGGCGAGGCGGCA